GGGGACGUUACGGAUUCGACAGGGGUAGUUUGAGCUCAAGUUGCGUGCCGAGGUUACGACUCGUAAACCGUUACCCGCCAAUAAUAACUGGCAAAGAAAACAAUUUCUCUUUAGCAGCUGCCUAAGCAGCACUAAAGGAUCCUUCCUAUCAUCGCCCGUGUGCUAGAUGAAGGGUCUCAAAUGAAGCGGGAUACGCUAAACAUUCACCGUCUGCGGAUGUUUAGAGGAGAUUAAUCAGACUAGCUGCUAGGAAGCCUGUUGAUAGGCUGAAUGGCAAGCGAAAUGCGAAUAUAUCAACUACGCAUGUAGACGCUUGAGUGGCAAUAUCUCUGGACGUGGGUUCGACUCCCACCGUCUCCACCA
rnacentral:tmRNA from 1 species